UACAGAGACUGCAAGCGUUAUUCGGAUUCACUGGGCGUAAAGGGUGCGCAGGCGGCCAGGUGUGUUAGGCGUGAAAGCCCGGGGCUUAACCCCGGAAUUGCACCUAAAACUACUUGGCUAGAGCAUUGGAGAGGGUAGCGGAAUUCACGGUGUAGCAGUGAAAUGCGUAGAUAUCGUGAGGAACACCAGAGGCGAAGGCGGCUACCUGGACAAUUGCUGACGCUCAGGCACGAAAGCGUGGGGAGCAAAGG
rnacentral:rRNA from 1 species